GUUCCUGGCUCAGAGCGAACGCUGGCGGCAGGCUUAACACAUGCAAGUCGAGCGGACCUUUCGGGGUCAGCGGCGGACGGGUGAGUAACGCGUGGGAACGUGCCUUCCGGUUCGGAAUAACCCUGGGAAACUAGGGCUAAUACCGGAUACGCCCUUAUGGGGAAAGGUUUACUGCCGGAAGAUCGGCCCGCGUCUGAUUAGCUAGUUGGUGGGGUAACGGCCUACCAAGGCGACGAUCAGUAGCUGGUCUGAGAGGAUGAUCAGCCACACUGGGACUGAGACACGGCCCAGACUCCUACGGGAGGCAGCAGUGGGGAAUAUUGGACAAUGGGCGCAAGCCUGAUCCAGCCAUGCCGCGUGAGUGAUGAAGGCCUUAGGGUUGUAAAGCUCUUUUAUCCGGGACGAUAAUGACGGUACCGGAGGAAUAAGCCCCGGCUAACUUCGUGCCAGCAGCCGCGGUAAUACGAAGGGGGCUAGCGUUGCUCGGAAUCACUGGGCGUAAAGGGCGCGUAGGCGGCGUUUUAAGUCGGGGGUGAAAGCCUGUGGCUCAACCACAGAAUGGCCUUCGAUACUGGGACGCUUGAGUAUGGUAGAGGUUGGUGGAACUGCGAGUGUAGAGGUGAAAUUGGA
rnacentral:rRNA from 1 species